rnacentral:rRNA from 1 species
CCUACGGGGGGCAGCAGUGGGGAAUAUUGGACAAUGGGGGGAACCCUGAUCCAGCCAUGCCGCGUGUGUGAAGAAGGCCCUCGGGUUGUAAAGCACUUUCAGUGAGGAAGAACGCCUGGUGGUUAAUACCCAUCAGGAAAGACAUCACUCACAGAAGAAGCACCGGCUAACUCCGUGCCAGCAGCCGCGGUAAUACGGAGGGUGCGAGCGUUAAUCGGAAUUACUGGGCGUAAAGCGCGCGUAGGUGGCUUGAUAAGCCGGUUGUGAAAGCCCCGGGCUCAACCUGGGAACGGCAUCCGGAACUGUCAAGCUAGAGUGCAGGAGAGGAAGGUAGAAUUCCCGGGGUAGCGGUGAAAUGCGUAGAGAUCGGGAGGAAUACCAGUGGCGAAGGCGGCCUUCUGGACUGACACUGACACUGAGGUGCGAAAGCGUGGGUAGCAAACAGGAUUAGAUACCCGAGUAGUC